rnacentral:rRNA from 1 species
GAUGAACGCUAGCGGGAGGCCUAACACAUGCAAGCCGAGCGGUAGAGUUCCUUCGGGAACUUGAGAGCGGCGUACGGGUGCGUAACACGUGUGCAACCUACCUUUAUCUGGGGGAUAGCCUUUCGAAAGGAAGAUUAAUACCCCAUAAUAUAAUGAUUGGCAUCAAUUAUUAUUGAAAACUCCGGUGGAUAGAGAUGGGCACGCGCAAGAUUAGAUAGUUGGUGAGGUAACGGCUCACCAAGCCAAUGAUCUUUAGGGGUCCUGAGAGGGAGAUCCCCCACACUGGUACUGAGGCACGGACCAGACUGCUACGGGAGGGAGCAGUGAGGUAGAUAGGACAAGGGGUGAAAGCCUGAUCCAGCCAUCCCGCGUGAAGGAGGACUGUGCUAUGGAUGGUAAACUUCUUUUGUACAGGGAUAAACCGACACUCGCGAGGGUAGCUGAAGGUACUGAACGAAUAAGCACCGGCUAACUCCGUG